GAUGAACGCUGGCGGCGUGCCUAAUACAUGCAAGUCGAGCGAAUGGAUUAAGAGCUUGCUCUUAUGAAGUUAGCGGCGGACGGGUGAGUAACACGUGGGUAACCUGCCCAUAAGACUGGGAUAACUCCGGGAAACCGGGGCUAAUACCGGAUAACAUUUUGAACCGCAUGGUUCGAAAUGGAAAGGCGGCUUCGGCUGUCAUUUAUGGAUGGACCCGCGUCGCAUUAGCUAGUUGGUGAGGUAACGGCUCACCAAGGCAACGAUGCGUAGCCGACCUGAGAGGGUGAUCGGCCACACUGGGACUGAGACACGGCCCAGACUGCUACGGGAGGCAGCAGUAGGGAAUCUUCCGCAAUGGACGAAAGUCUGACGGAGCAACGCCGCGUGAGUGAUGAAGGCUUUCGGGUCGUAAAACUCUGUUGUUAGGGAAGAACAAGUGCUAGUUGAAUAAGCUGGCACCUUGACGGUACCUAACCAGAAAGCCACGGCUAACUACGUGCCAGCCGCCGCAGUAA
rnacentral:rRNA from 1 species